rnacentral:rRNA from 1 species
AGAGUUUGAUCCUGGCUCAGGACGAACGCUGGCGGCGCGCCUAACACAUGCAAGUCGAACGAGCGAGAGAGAGCUUGCUUUCUCGAGCGAGUGGCGAACGGGUGAGUAACGCGUGAGGAACCUGCCUCAAAGAGGGGGACAACAGUUGGAAACGACUGCUAAUACCGCAUAAGCCCACGGCUCGGCAUCGAGCAGAGGGAAAAGGAGCAAUCCGCUUUGAGAUGGCCUCGCGUCCGAUUAGCUAGUUGGUGAGGUAACGGCCCACCAAGGCGACGAUCGGUAGCCGGACUGAGAGGUUGAACGGCCACAUUGGGACUGAGACACGGCCCAGACUCCUACGGGAGGCAGCAGUGGGGAAUAUUGCACAAUGGGGGAAACCCUGAUGCAGCGACGCCGCGUGGAGGAAGAAGGUCUUCGGAUUGUAAACUCCUGUUGUUGGGGAAGAUAAUGACGGUACCCAACAAGGAAGUGACGGCUAACUACGUGCCAGCAGCCGCGGUAAAACGUAGGUCACAAGCGUUGUCCGGAAUUACUGGGUGUAAAGGGAGCGCAGGCGGGAAGACAAGUUGGAAGUGAAAUCUAUGGGCUCAACCCAUAAACUGCUUUCAAAACUGUUUUUCUUGAGUAGUGCAGAGGUAGGCGGAAUUCCCGGUGUAGCGGUGGAAUGCGUAGAUAUCGGGAGGAACACCAGUGGCGAAGGCGGCCUACUGGGCACCAACUGACGCUGAGGCUCGAAAGUGUGGGUAGCAAACAGGAUUAGAUACCCUGGUAGUCCACACCGUAAACGAUGAUUACUAGGUGUUGGAGGAUUGACCCCUUCAGUGCCGCAGUUAACACAAUAAGUAAUCCACCUGGGGAGUACGACCGCAAGGUUG